GAAAUGCGAUAAGUAAUGUGAAUUGCAGAUUCCGUGAAUCAUCGAACUUUUGAACGCACAUUGCGCCCGGCGGCACUCCGCCGGGCAUGCCUGUCCGAGCGUCAUUCUCGACCCCUCGGCCUGGGAGGCAGCAGGGCAACUGCCCUCGCUCUCUCUCCUGGCCGGCGUUGGGGGCCUGCGCGCUGUCGCAGCUCCCUAAGUCCACUGGCGUCGUCCGCUGGAAAACCCCCUGCGUAGUAGCUUGAGACCUCGCACCGGGACCAGCUGGCGACCGCCGUAAAACCCCACUAGACGCCCCGCCUGAAAAGGCGAUGGGCACCUAAGGUUGACCUCGGAUCAGGUAGGAGUUACCCGCUGAACUUAA
rnacentral:misc_RNA from 1 species